GCGAGCGGGCGGGGCUCGGUGAUGCGGCGUGAGGGGCUCCCCGCGCCUCCGAGCACCCCCUGGCACCCGCUGCCCCCCGCCGGCAUCCCGGAGCUGCGAAAUACCGCCCAAGAAGCAUGGAGCAGCGGAUCAGCGCUCUUUUUGUCUCAGUCAGCAUCCAGCCUUUGUUGGGAGAAAGCGAUGAUUCAGCCGCUGGGCUGAUCUCAGAUGCGACGUGUGUUUGCUAGAAAGAGUAAGGCAUGAGCCACACUGCCAGCCAAUGUUUCUUUAACCUGCUACAUCUGAGAGUGUGUCUGGAGGGCUUUGAUGACACAAGGCGUUGUAACCAUUUGGGUGCAUUCUGGGUGUGCUUUUAUGCAGCAGAAACUUAUGUAGUAGACAGCACUGAAAUUGCAUCAUGUAACUUGUAAUUACUGGGUGGUGUGUUCAGGAAGCAACCCCUGUAACGUAAUGUAAAAUAAUGCUCUUCUAUCUGUUCAAAAGGCCAGGAGAAAGAGACUGCUGUUUCACUCCUUAAAAAUACUGAGUGGCCUGGAGGUCACUUGGGUGCCUCAGGCCACUUGGUCUAUAAAAAUAAAGCCUUUUUAAAAAACA
rnacentral:lncRNA from 1 species